rnacentral:rRNA from 1 species
GAUCCUGGCUCAGGACGAACGCUGGCGGCGUGCCUAACACAUGCAAGUCGAACGAGAAUCUUUGAACAGAUCUUUUCGGAGUGACGUUCAAAGAGGAAAGUGGCGGACGGGCGAGUAACGCGUGAGUAACCUGCCCAUAAGAGGGGGGAUAAUCCAUGGAAACGUGGACUAAUACCGCGUAUUGUAGUUAAGUUGCAUGACUUGAUUAUGAAAGAUUUAUCGCUUAUGGAUGGACUCGCGUCAGA